rnacentral:tRNA from 1 species
GGACCCGUAGCUCAGCCAGGAUAGAGCGUCGGCCCCCUAAGCCGAAUGUCGGGGGUUCAAAUCCCCCCGGGUCCG